AGUGAACGCUGGCGGUAGGCCUAACACAUGCAAGUCGAACGGCAGCACAGUAAGAGCUUGCUCUUACGGGUGGCGAGUGGCGGACGGGUGAGGAAUACAUCGGAAUCUACUUUUUCGUGGGGGAAUACGUAGGGAAACUUACGCUAAUACCGCAUACGACCUACGGGUGAAAGCAGGGGAUCUUCGGACCUUGCGCGAUUGAAUGAGCCGAUGUCGGAUUAGCUAGUUGGCGGGGUAAAGGCCCACCAAGGCGACGACCCGUAGCUGGUCUGAGAGGAUGAUCAGCCACACUGGAACUGAGACACGGUCCAGACUCCUACGGGAGGCAGCAGUGGGGAAUAUUGGACAAUGGGCGCAAGCCUGAUCCAGCCAUACCGCGUGGGUGAAGAAGGCCUUCGGGUUUUAAAGCCCUUUUGUUGGGAAAGAAAAGCAGCAGGUUAAUACCCCGCUGUUCUGACGGUACCCAAAGAAUAAGCACCGGCUAACUUCGUG
rnacentral:rRNA from 1 species